rnacentral:rRNA from 1 species
AUUGAACGCUGGCGGCAGGCUUAACACAUGCAAGUCGAACGAGUGGCGGACGGGUGAGUAAUGUUUGGGAAUCUGGCCUAUGGAGGGGGAUAACGACUGGAAACUGUCGCUAAUACCGCGUACCAUCGGAUGAGCCCAUGUGGGAUUAGCUAGUUGGUGGGGUAAUGGCUCACCAAGCCGACGAUCUCUAGCUGGUCUGAGAGGAUGACCAGCCACACCGGGACUGAGACACGGCCCGGACUCCUACGGGAGGCAGCAGUGGGGAAUAUUGCGCAAUGGGGGCAAGCUGAUGCAGCCAUGCCGCGUGAAUGAAGAAGGCCUUCGGGUUGUAAAGUACUUUCGGUGACGAGGCGUUAAUCGCAGAAGAAGCACCGGCUAACUCCGUGCCAGCAGCCGCGGUAAUAC